rnacentral:rRNA from 1 species
AGAAUCAACGCUGGCGGCGUGCCUCAGACAUGCAAGUCGAACGAUUAAAGCUCUCUUCGGAGAGUGUAUAGAGUGGCGCACGGGUGAGUAACACGUAAGUAAUCUACCUUUGAGUGGGGAAUAACAGUCGGAAACGGCUGCUAAUACCGCAUAAUGCAGCGGCAUCGCAAGAUGACAGUUGUUAAAGGAGCAAUCCGCUUAAAAGAGGAGCUUGCGGCAGAUUAGCUUGUUGGUAAGGUAACGGCUUACCAAGGCUACGAUCUGUAUCCGGUCUAAGAGGACGGUCGGACACACUGACACUGAAUAACGGGUCAGACUCCUACGGGAGGCAGCAGUCGGGAAUUUUGGGCAAUGGGCGAAAGCCUGACCCAGCAACGCCGCGUGAAGGAUGAAGUAUUCGGUAUGUAAACUUCGAAAGAAUAGAAGAAUAAAUGACGUAACUAUUUAAUAAGGUCCGGCUAACGUACGUGACUAGCAGCCG